rnacentral:rRNA from 1 species
GAUGAACGCUAGCGGCAGGCCUAAUACAUGCAAGUCGAGGGGUAGAGGGAGCUUGCUCCCUUGAGACCGGCGCACGGGUGCGUAACGCGUAUGCAACCUACCUCCAUCUGGGGGAUAGCCCGGAGAAAUCCGGAUUAACACCGCAUAAAACCACAGGACGGCAGUGUCCAAUGGUCAAACAUUCAUGGGAUGGGGAUGGGCAUGCGUGCCAUUAGCUAGUUGGCGGGGUAACGGCCCACCAAGGCGACGAUGGAUAGGGGAUCUGAGAGGAUGGCCCCCCACACUGGUACUGAGACACGGACCAGACUCCUACGGGAGGCAGCAGUAAGGAAUAUUGGUCAAUGGAGGCAACUCUGAACCAGCCAUGCCGCGUGCAGGAAGACGGCCCUCCGGGUUGUAAACUGCUUUUAUCCGGGAAUAAACCUGCCCACGUGUGGGCAGCUGAAUGUACCGGAGGAAUAAGGAUCGGCUAACUCCGUGCCAGCCGCCGCGGUAA